AUUGAACGCUGGCGGCAGGCCUAACACAUGCAAGUCGAGCGGAUGAAGGGAGCUUGCUCCUGGAUUCAGCGGCGGACGGGUGAGUAAUGCCUAGGAAUCUGCCUGGUAGUGGGGGAUAAAGUCCGGAAAAGGGCGCUAAUACCGCAUACGUCCUGAGGGAGAAAGUGGGGGAUCUUAGAACCUCACGCUAUCAGAUGAGCCUAGGUCGGAUUAGCUAGUUGGUGGGGUAAAGGCCUACCAAGGCGACGAUCCGUAACUGGUCUGAGAGGAUGAUCAGUCACACUGGAACUGAGACACGGUCCAGACUCCUACGGGAGGCAGCAGUGGGGAAUAUUGGACAAUGGGCGAAAGCCUGAUCCAGCCAUGCCGCGUGUGUGAAGAAGGUCUUCGGAUUGUAAAGCACUUUAAGUUGGGAGGAAGGGCAGUAAGUGAAUACCUGGCUGUUUUGACGUUACCAACAGAAUAAGCACCGGCUAACUUCGUG
rnacentral:rRNA from 1 species